rnacentral:rRNA from 1 species
AGUGAACGCUGGCGGUAGGCCUAACACAUGCAAGUCGAACGGCAGCACAGUAAGAGCUUGCUCUUACGGGUGGCGAGUGGCGGACGGGUGAGGAAUACAUCGGAAUCUACUUUUUCGUGGGGGAUAACGUAGGGAAACUUACGCUAAUACCGCAUACGACCUACGGGUGAAAGCAGGGGAUCUUCGGACCUUGCGCGAUUGAAUGGGCCGAUGUCGGAUUAGCUAGUUGGCGGGGUAAAGGCCCACCAAGGCGACGAUCCGUAGCUGGUCUGAGAGGAUGAUCAGGCACACUGGAACUGAGACACGGUCCAGACUCCUACGGGAGGCAGCAGUGGGGAAUAUUGGACAAUGGGCGCAAGCCUGAUCCAGCCAUACCGCGUGGGUGAAGAAGGCCUUCGGGUUGUAAAGCCCUUUUGUUGGGAAAGAAAAGCAGCAGGUUAAUACCCCGCUGUUCUGACGGUACCCAAAGAAUAAGCACCGGCUAACUUCGUG